CGGGGGAGGCGGGAUCCUGGGCUGUGUCCCAGCGCCCUGUGCUCCGGGGCCUGCGCUGUUGGAUUCGUGCUCCCGCCCCGCAGCCCCCU
rfam:Canis lupus familiaris chromosome 2, whole genome shotgun sequence.